CCCAAAAUAAUUUUUGUUUAAAAGCCCAACUCAUUUUUAACAAAUCCAUUAUCAAAACUCCCUUUAAUAUGGAACAAACGUAUAUUUAUUUAGGUUAAUGGUCAUAUAUUAUACUCCACUAUUAAUUCUAAACGAAAAAUUUGUGAAUUUAAAACACAUCCUCUCUCGCCUCCCUCAUCGUCAUCCCAUCUUCCCCAAAAUCAUGCCAGAUUUCUAAAAACUUCUCCACCUACCCCUUCCUCCUUAAAAUCCGACGACCACUAAUAGCUGUGACUCGGAUGCCGUCGUUUGCGUCGUUUUUAUCUCUCGAAAUCCACAAACUUUCCCCUAAACAAAUCUGGCAGAAUCGCUAGCAACAAAUGCCGUCAUUGUCUCGCCGCCUCUGCGUCGUCUCUUUCCGCCAACGACUGGUUGAAGACCACCAUCUUUGUCGUCCUUCCUUCCUGUUUAUCUCUUUUUCUAAUUCUUGUUCCCUCUAUACCUGAUUCACCCAAAAAUCGAAUCAAAUUUUCGAAUAAUGAUUCAAAAAAAAUAUUUAAUAUCAAUUCGAAUAGUCAAAUAUUUUCUUAUGCCUCGACUCGGUACAAAUCUGCACCAGAUGCGCGCUCUGAAAUUUGGCCUCGAGCUCUUCAUCCCUAAUACUUCUCUCUUCUUAAUUUAGUUGAGUUUUUAUUUUUGUGUGUAUCUUUUUUUGCUGUCUUUUGUCUAGAAUAUAAUUAGAGGGAAUAUAAUUAGAGGUUGUUGUUUUAACUGUGAACUCAUCCUUUUCUUUUCUGAAACUUGAUUUGGAAGAGAAAGAGAAAACUGAUUGGUAAAGAGAAGUGUGCCAUUUACGGAUCAUGGAGAAAUUAGAUUUUGAGAAAGAAGAAACUACCU
rnacentral:lncRNA from 1 species